CCGCGUGAGGGACGAAGGCUUUCUGAGUUGUAAACCUCUUUCGGCAGGAACGAUUGUGACGGUACCUGUAGAAGAACGCACCGGCCAACUAUGUGC
rnacentral:rRNA from 1 species